GGCCUGCGGGUGCUAUACAUGCAGUCGAACGCUUCUUUCCUCCCGAGUGCUUGCACUCAAUUGGAAAGAGGAGUGGCGGACGGGUGAGUAACACGUGGGUAACCUACCCAUCAGAGGGGGAUAACACUUGGAAACAGGUGCUAAUACCGCAUAACAGUUUAUGCCGCAUGGCAUAAGAGUGAAAGGCGCUUUCGGGUGUCGCUGAUGGAUGGACCCGCGGUGCAUUAGCUAGUUGGUGAGGUAACGGCUCACCAAGGCCACGAUGCAUAGCCGACCUGAGAGGGUGAUCGGCCACACUGGGACUG
rnacentral:rRNA from 1 species